UACGGGGGGGGCAAGCGUUGUUCGGAAUUACUGGGCGUAAAGGGCGCGUAGGCGGCUUUUCAAGUCGGGCGUGAAAUCUCCGGGCUUAACCUGGAAGGGUCGUUCGAUACUGUCGAGCUAGAGUGUGGAAGAGGCUACUGGAAUUCCGUGUGUAGCGGUGAAAUGCGUAGAUAUACGGAGGAACACCAGCGGCGAAGGCGG
rnacentral:rRNA from 1 species